GGAAUAUUGGACAAUGGGCGAAAGCCUGAUCCAGCCAUGCCGCGUGUGUGAAGAAGGUCUUCGGAUUGUAAAGCACUUUAAGUUGGGAGGAAGGGCAUUAACCUAAUACGUUAGUGUUUUGACGUUACCGACAGAAUAAGCACCGGCUAACUCUGUGCCAGCAGCCGCGGUAAUACAGAGGGUGCAAGCGUUAAUCGGAAUUACUGGGCGUAAAGCGCGCGUAGGUGGUUUGUUAAGUUGAAUGUGAAAUCCCCGGGCUCAACCUGGGAACUGCAUCCAAAACUGGCAAGCUAGAGUAUGGUAGAGGGUAGUGGAAUUUCCUGUGUAGCGGUGAAAUGCGUAGAUAUAGGAAGGAACACCAGUGGCGAAGGCGACUACCUGGACUGAUACUGACACUGAGGUGCGAAAGCGUGGGGAGCAAACAGGAUUAGAUACCCGUG
rnacentral:rRNA from 1 species